AUCCAGCUGACGAGUUCAAAAUAGGACGAAGCGGAGCGCGUUCUGGAU
rnacentral:hammerhead_ribozyme from 1 species